CAUUAGACGAAUCAUCUGGAAAGAUGAAUCAAAGAAGGUAAUAAUCCUGUAGUCGAAAAUGUUGUCUCUCUUGAGUGGAUCCUGAGUACGACGGAACACGUGAAAUUCCGUCGGAAUCUGGGAGGACCAUCUCCUAAGGCUAAAUACUCUCUAGUGACCGAUAGUGAACCAGUACCGUGAGGGAAAGGUGAAAAGCACCCCGGAAGGGGAGUGAAAUAGAACCUGAAACCGUGUGCUUACAAGUAGUCAGAGCCCGUUAAUGGGUGAUGGCGUGCCUUUUGUAGAAUGAACCGGCGAGUUACGAUUUGAUGCAAGGUUAAGCAGUAAAUGUGGAGCCGUAGCGAAAGCGAGUCUGAAUAGGGCGUUUAGUAUUUGGUCGUAGACCCGAAACCAGGUGAUCUACCCUUGGUCAGGUUGAAGUUCAGGUAACACUGAAUGGAGGACCGAACCGACUUACGUUGAAAAGUGAGCGGAUGAACUGAGGGUAGCGGAGAAAUUCCAAUCGAACCUGGAGAUAGCUGGUUCUCUCCGAAAUAGCUUUAGGGCUAGCCUCAAGUGAUGAUUAUUGGAGGUAGAGCACUGUUUGGACGAGGGGCCCCUCUCGGGUUACCGAAUUCAGACAAACUCCGAAUGCCAAUUAAUUUAACUUGGGAGUCAGAACAUGGGUGAUAAGGUCCGUGUUCGAAAGGGAAACAGCCCAGACCACCAGCUAAGGUCCCAAAAUAUAUGUUAAGUGGAAAAGGAUGUGGCGUUGCCCAGACAACUAGGAUGUUGGCUUAGAAGCAGCCAUCAUUUAAAGAGUGCGUAAUAGCUCACUAGUCGAGUGACACUGCGCCGAAAAUGUACCGGGGCUAAACAUAUUACCGAAGCUGUGGAUUGUCCUUUGGACAAUGGUAGGAGAGCGUUCUAAGGGCGUUGAAGCAUGAUCGUAAGGACAUGUGGAGCGCUUAGAAGUGAGAAUGCCGGUGUGAGUAGCGAAAGACGGGUGAGAAUCCCGUCCACCGAUUGACUAAGGUUUCCAGAGGAAGGCUCGUCCGCUCUGGGUUAGUCGGGUCCUAAGCUGAGGCCGACAGGCGUAGGCGAUGGAUAACAGGUUGAUAUUCCUGUACCACCUAUAAUCGUUUUAAUCGAUGGGGGGACGCAGUAGGAUAGGCGAAGCGUGCGAUUGGAUUGCACGUCUAAGCAGUAAGGCUGAGUAUUAGGCAAAUCCGGUACUCGUUAAGGCUGAGCUGUGAUGGGGAGAAGACAUUGAGUCUUCGAGUCGUUGAUUUCACACUGCCGAGAAAAGCCUCUAGAUAGAAAAUAGGUGCCCGUACCGCAAACCGACACAGGUAGUCAAGAUGAGAAUUCUAAGGUGAGCGAGCGAACUCUCGUUAAGGAACUCGGCAAAAUGACCCCGUAACUUCGGGAGAAGGGGUGCUCUUUAGGGUUAACGCCCAGAAGAGCCGCAGUGAAUAGGCCCAAGCGACUGUUUAUCAAAAACACAGGUCUCUGCUAAACCGUAAGGUGAUGUAUAGGGGCUGACGCCUGCCCGGUGCUGGAAGGUUAAGAGGAGUGGUUAGCUUCUGCGAAGCUACGAAUCGAAGCCCCAGUAAACGGCGGCCGUAACUAUAACGGUCCUAAGGUAGCGAAAUUCCUUGUCGGGUAAGUUCCGACCCGCACGAAAGGCGUAACGAUUUGGGCACUGUCUCAACGAGAGACUCGGUGAAAUCAUAGUACCUGUGAAGAUGCAGGUUACCCGCGACAGGACGGAAAGACCCCGUGGAGCUUUACUGUAGCCUGAUAUUGAAAUUCGGCACAGCUUGUACAGGAUAGGUAGGAGCCUUUGAAACGUGAGCGCUAGCUUACGUGGAGGCGCUGGUGGGAUACUACCCUAGCUGUGUUGGCUUUCUAACCCGCACCACUUAUCGUGGUGGGAGACAGUGUCAGGCGGGCAGUUUGACUGGGGCGGUCGCCUCCUAAAAGGUAACGGAGGCGCUCAAAGGUUCCCUCAGAAUGGUUGGAAAUCAUUCAUAGAGUGUAAAGGCAUAAGGGAGCUUGACUGCGAGACCUACAAGUCGAGCAGGGUCGAAAGACGGACUUAGUGAUCCGGUGGUUCCGCAUGGAAGGGCCAUCGCUCAACGGAUAAAAGCUACCCCGGGGAUAACAGGCUUAUCUCCCCCAAGAGUUCACAUCGACGGGGAGGUUUGGCACCUCGAUGUCGGCUCAUCGCAUCCUGGGGCUGUAGUCGGUCCCAAGGGUUGGGCUGUUCGCCCAUUAAAGCGGUACGCGAGCUGGGUUCAGAACGUCGUGAGACAGUUCGGUCCCUAUCCGUCGUGGGCGUAGGAAAUUUGAGAGGAGCUGUCCUUAGUACGAGAGGACCGGGAUGGACAUACCUCUGGUGUACCAGUUGUCGUGCCAACGGCAUAGCUGGGUAGCUAUGUGUGGACGGGAUAAGUGCUGAAAGCAUCUAAGCAUGAAGCCCCCCUCAAGAUGAGAUUUCCCAACUUCGGUUAUAAGAUCCCUCAAAGAUGAUGAGGUUAAUAGGUUCGAGGUGGAAGCAUGGUGACAUGUGGAGCUGACGAAUACUAAUCGAUCGAAGACUUAAUCAA
rnacentral:rRNA from 3 species